CACGGGAGUUUCUUCGGUCCUUCCUUCUUGGCCUUAGGCAUCCUUUGAGUCGUCCUCAUCUCUGCAUCCCUGCAUCUCUCAGACCAGCCUAGGUUAGCCCUAGAACUUUCUCUGCUUCCGCGGCUCCGUUUAUAGACUGUGCCGAUCUUCUUCCAUUGCAGAUAUGGGUGCGGACGCGGCUCGGAUGUUAGCCCAGAGUCUCAAAGCCCACAAGCGGGAAGGCGCUGCAACUUUCG
rnacentral:lncRNA from 1 species